ensembl:misc_RNA Metazoa_SRP Metazoan signal recognition particle RNA
GCUGGGCAUGGUGGUGCAUGCCUGUAAUCCCAGCUACUCAGGAGGCUGAGGCAGGAGAAUCGCUUGAACCUGGGAGGCAGAGGUUGCAGUGAGCUGAGAUCGCACCAUUGCACUCCAGCCUGGGUGACAGAGUGAGACUCUGUCUCAA